rnacentral:rRNA from 1 species
UAGAGGAAGUAAAAGUCGUAACAAGGUCUCCGUUGGUGAACCAGCGGAGGGAUCAUUACUGAGUUUACGCUCUACAACCCUUUGUGAACAUACCUACAACUGUUGCUUCGGCGGGUAGGGUCUCCGCGACCCUCCCGGCCUCCCGCCUCCGGGCGGGUCGGCGCCCGCCGGAGGAUAACCAAACUCUGAUUUAACGACGUUUCUUCUGAGUGGUACAAGCAAAUAAUCAAAACUUUUAACAACGGAUCUCUUGGUUCUGGCAUCGAUGAAGAACGCAGCGAAAUGCGAUAAGUAAUGUGAAUUGCAGAAUUCAGUGAAUCAUCGAAUCUUUGAACGCACAUUGCGCCCGCCAGCAUUCUGGCGGGCAUGCCUGUUCGAGCGUCAUUUCAACCCUCAAGCUCUGCUUGGUGUUGGGGCCCUACAGCCGAUGUAGGCCCUCAAAGGUAGUGGCGGACCCUCCCGGAGCCUCCUUUGCGUAGUAACUUUACGUCUCGCACUGGGAUCCGGAGGGACUCUUGCCGUAAAACCCCCCAAUUUUCCAAAGGUUGACCUCGGAUCAGGUAGGAAUACCCGCUGAACUUAAGCAUAUCAAUAAA